rnacentral:snRNA from 1 species
AACAUCUCAUUCGGAUGGUCCAGU